rnacentral:lncRNA from 1 species
GAGGAUACACAAAAACACAUGGACAUAAACCAAAAAGAAAAAGGAAACAGAAACAACAAAAAAAAAUGGAACACAACAGAAGCAAAAAUAAAGAGAGACAGAAGAAAAAGAAACAGACAAAGAUGGAAAAACAAGCAAAACAUAAGAGAAAAGUAGACUUGAAAGAAAGGAAUAAAAAAAGUGAUGAUUUGAGUUCAAAUUCGGGUUCCGUUUGAGUUUUUUUUUUCGGUGAAGACGUUUUUUGUUUCUAUUUAAGUUAUUCUACCACACAGGUUCUUAUUCGGAUUCUUUAUUUAUAAUUUUAUUUAGUUUUUGGGGUUAAAGCAUGAAUGAAGUUAUUACAAUGAUUUGCUAUAUUAUUUCGUAUGUGUAAUUAAUUAGUUAGUUUAUGCUUUACAUCUUUAUUUGUAAUUCGUCUAAUGUUUUUUGAAGAUAAUGUUAAUUAUAUUGACUAUGAAUUUUGAAUGAGGUGAUUUCAAAGUUAUUAGUUUUAAAGAUAUAAAUUGCGUUAAUACAAAUUAUUGUGCUAUAAACCACAACUUUGAUUCAUGAAUGCAAUGCAUGCAAAAAGAUUUUAAAAGAGAAGGGUUGAAAAAAUAACAUGCACAUGCAUAUGCUCACACAAAAAAAUGGAAGACACAUAAAACUGGAAGAAACAAACUCUUAAGAAGAAAGGAAAGGAUAAAAAAAAAUAGAGACAUGAACAUGCAAACAGAUAGUGGAAAAAUUAAAAAAAAAAAAAGAUAGAGUUGAUAAAAUAAUGAAAGAGCACCACUUUAUUCAUUCUUUUUAAAAAUCGAAUCUUGAGGUUUAGGUUAUCAAUUUAAAUAAUAAGUUAGGUCAAGUAUAGUAAUUUAAUUUUGUUGUUUUCGUUUAUGUUUGAUCUUUUGUUCUAAUUGUAGUAUUCGAAUGUCUGGUUUCAAUUGAUUGGGUGCAUAUACAUUUAUCACCUGAUAAGAUUUUUAAUUGUGAUCGAGUUUGAGUUGGCUUUCAGUUUGGUCAAAAUUUGGUCAUAGCAAAUCGCAUGGAUAACGAUUUUAAAUUUUAAAUCAAGACCCAUCAUAUUUGACAAUAGAAAAGAAAGGAUAAAAUUAAUAGAAAAAAUAGCAAGCAAUAAUAUAAAACGAAAAAAAGAAAAGUAUUUAUUUUUGAAGUUAUAAAACAUGUUUUUGACAUUAGGAAUUGUAUUAUUUUUUAUUUAUUAAAAAAUUUAAUAAUUAUUUAUUAAAUUAAUUAAUUAAUUUAGUUGAAUAUUUUUUAAGAUUAAGUAGCAUUUUUUUGAACAAAUAAAUUGUUGCAAGUUUUUAUAUAAAAAAGAUAAAUCGAUGUUUAGCAUUAGACAAAUUUUAGACACGUUUAAAAUAUUCGUCUCAAUUAAGAAUGCGGCAUACCCAUCUUUCUAAGAUAUUUAGAAUUCAAGGAUGCAAUAAUACACCUUGGCAAAUAUUUUUUUAAAAUUAAUUUUCAUUGAUUUAUUUAACAUAAAGUAAUAGACUAGUUUUAAAUAAAAUGAGCGAAUUUAGGUCUUAUUAUAAUUGGUCAAAAUAGUUUAGUUUAAGUAUAAGUCAAUAAAAGUGACCGUGCUAGAACCACCGGACUCGAGGGGUGCCUCACACCUUCUCCUCGGUCAACAGAAUUCCUUACCUAGUCUUCUAUUUUCGCAGAUAAACAAAGAGUCAUUUCCUUUUGAUUAGGGAUUCAAAAAGGUCACUUGGAACACCAUAACUCAAUUUCAAGUGGCGACUUUGUAAAUAAUCUCUAUUCAAAAUCGUCACUUCAAUUGGAAAAAUUCUUCGACUCGAUCCUUGCGGACGAAAAGGGGGUGUGACAUCUCUAGCGACUUUGCUGGGGAAUUAACUAGAAUUUGAGCUUUUUACAUUGACUUAUACUUGCUUUAAUUAUUGUUGAUAUUGUGUUUGUUGGCCUUAUGUGCUACUUGUCGCUUAUUUACCAUUUUGAUAUUGAUUGAACUGUAUUAUAUAUUGUCUUCUCUUGCGCACCCCUUCUGAUUCCCUGAAAUAGGAUAGAAGGAAUGCAGCGCAUGCAUCCUACUUUCUUUUUUAGAUAGACAGAGUGUCAAGGCACCUGGUGAAGGAUUAUAGUCACACAUGAUAGGCGGGGUUCGGAUUGGCAACAAAGGCGGUGUUGCCCUGCUACCAACCAAGUUGUCCCUCCCUGGCUUGAGUGUCUGCUCGGGAAAGCCAGUCUAGACACCUAUCCCUAUUAGGCUUAAACUUAGAAGAACUGAAAACUCAGAAUCUGGUUAUCCCUAUUAGGUGCCACUUUAUUUGCAUCAUAUGCAUCUGACUUAUCGUGACUCGGCACAAAGGCCGGGUCUAUCUAGGAUAGAUGUCCUACUUUAUAAAGACCAACAUGUGCAUCCUACGUGCUCUUUGACAUUUGUUUAGAAGGCUAAUUGUUUGUUGACUGGAUUUAGGCAACUUUAAAAUGCAAGAGAUUAAAUUAACCUCAAAUUUAGUGAAUCUUUUUUUUAAAGAAAAAAUUUAUUUUAAAAGAAAGGAAAUUUUUAAAUAUAUAGUAACAUAGUUUUAUGGUUUUUAUGAACUACGAGGGUCUGAUUCUCACUCUUUAUUGACAUACGUAGGAAGCGGGGUACGACCCUAUCUUUUGAAAAAUUAUUCAUAGAUUUAUUGGGGAAUAUUUUGGAAAUAUGAUUGCUUUCAUAAUUAUUUUUCUUAUUCUCAAGUUCAAUNNNNNNNNNNNNNNNNNNNNNNNNNNNNNNNNNNNNNNNNNNNNNNNNNNNNNNNNNNNNNNNNNNNNNNNNNNNNNNNNNNNNNNNNNNNNNNNNNNNNNNNNNNNNNNNNNNNNNNNNNNNNNNNNNNNNNNNNNNNNNNNNNNNNNNNNNNNNNNNNNCUUAAUAGCCCAGAAUCUUUAAGGAUCAUGAGGCUAAGUUUUACAAAAUAAAAAAAUAUAUAUAAAUCUCAAUAGCCCUGAAUCUCUAGGGAUCAUAAGGCUAAGUUUUACAAAAAAUAUAAAUAAAUCUUAAUAGCCCUGAACCUUUAGGGGUCUUGAGGCUGAGUUUUGUAUGACAUAAUUUUCAAGAACUACGCACACCUGAUUCUCAUUUUAGUGAGAUACGUAGGCAGUCCUUCAUGGAUUCGGUGAUUUUAAAGAAAUAAAAAAAUUAUUUGUAUUUCCUUUUAAACAAAUUAAUAACAGAGUUUUCGAUCUGUAUAUAAAAAUAAAUUAAUUUAUUUUUGAAAAUAAAAAAUAUGUUUUCAUCAUUAUCUUUAAAUUCAAAAAGAAUAAAAAAUAAUAAUAAUAAUAAUAAUAAAAUCUUUCACAUUUCUCAAAUUACAAGAAAAUGUGUUUCUUCAUAUCUCCAGCUUCAAGAACUACGCACACCUGAUUCUCAUUUUAUUGAGAUACGUAGGCAGUCCUCAAUGGAUUCGGUGAUCUUUUAAAAAAAGAGUAGUCUUUCCUUUUAAACUAAAAAAAAGGAAGUUGUUUUCAAAAAAGAAAAAUAUAUUAUUUAAUAAAUAAAUAAAUUUCUCAUUAUUAAAAAAAAGGGUAUAUUUCUUUGUAUCUCUAAUUUUCGAGAACUACGCACACCUGAUUCUCAUCUUAGUGAAAUAUGUAGGCAACCCUUCUAGGGUUCGAUGAUCUCUUCAAAAAAGAAGAUAAAAGAAAAAGAGUUUUAGAAAAAAUAUUGCAUUCUGAUGCCUUUGUUAUUUCUUAUACAGUUAGUUUAAGGUGGUUGGUAUGUGGUAUUUUGGAUGAUCCUCCACAUCACACCAAAUCUAAAGAAAGCUUAACUGUGUCCAACAAGGAUAUAGAAAGUGACUUCAUAGAUCAAACAAAGAGUCAUGAAAAUAAGAGUUUAAAGGAAGAGAAUUUGAGACUAAGGCAACAAAUGAUGUAAAUGUAUCGAGCUUGGGCAAGUGGGCAUCCUCCUCCCCCGUUCCCCACUAUUAAAGACUUGGGCAUGUUUUCAAAUGUCAACCUUCUUCAAAGCUUUGAGAUAUCGAAAUUUAAGGAACAUGAUGGACAUGAGGAUUCUGUGAAGCAUUUGAGAAGAUACUGCAAUCGAUCAAGGAAAAUUGAAAAAGGAAAGAAGAAUGAAAACACAUUUAUUGUCAUGCCAGGGCCAAAGCAGAGUUUGAGAGGUCCAACCAACCAAUACUGUCAGCCUUAAUCCCAAGCUUACAUAUUAGAUCCAUACAACCACAUGCAACAAGGUUCCUUUCUCCAAAAUCUAAGAAAUUUCAUUCCACUUCCUCAAUAUCCUUUAAACAAUGCACAGUCGUAUGUUUAUUCAUCUUUCUAUCCACAAUGGCGCGCCUCGGACCCUCGACAUCAUCCUCGACACUCACAAAUUUACCAAGGAGCCUCUAAAUCUAAGUUUUAUCCGAGGUCAGAGUUUGCAAAGAGAAGAAAGGCAAAGGAUAAUUUCACGCCAAUUGGGGAGUCCUAUACCAGUUUGUUCAAGACAUUGAGGCAAUGGGGCAGAUUCUCCCAUCUCUGGGUAUAUUCCCGAUUCACAUUCAAAAUAUUUUGAUCCUAAUGUACGAUGUGCUUAUCAUUCUAAUAUACAAGGUCACAGUGCUGAAGAUUGUCAUAUUUUGAAAAGAGAAAUAGAGAAAAUGAUUCAAGAAAAAUUGAUUGUGGUGCAAAACGUUGGCACCUCAACUGCCCCACAGAGUUCUUCGUCAGCACAUGGUACUAUACAAUAUGUGGGAAACAAUGAGUCAAGUAUGGAUACCCAGGACUUAUUUGUUGAAGAAAAUGUGUCUGAUCAUGGUAAAAGCUCUAGUUAUGUUGAUAUACAAAUCGGUGGCUAAGUUGUCAGGCUGAGCAAUUGAGAAGUCAUCCCUCUCCCUACUAGGAAGAGGUCUAGUAGUUUAUUUUGUUUUCUUUCUUGUUACCAGAAUUAUUUUAGGGUUGUAGUUUAGGACCUAUAUUAUGUGAUUUUCUUAUCAUUUUUGUUCAAACCCUUCUAUCUUUCUGUCAACAAAAUAUGUGCCCCUUUUGUUUUUAUUUCUCAAUAUAUAUCAUCUUUUUUUUCUUCAAAAAGCUCUUUCUAUGGUGAUUCUGGUAAUAUGAUAAGCAUGUUGAAUUUUUAGUCAGAUCUUAAAACCCAAUCUAAUGCUGAAACAUUCGAUCAAGAACCUAGAGUUGAAAAAAAAAUGUAAGAAAAAUAAGUAAAGUGUUGAGAUGUUUUGGAGACCUAGUUACAUCCUAACUUGAAUGUUUUGAGGUAAUCACUUUGAGAAUAAAAAAUGAAUUGAUCUUCAAUGAGGGGAGGUUCAACUCAAGAAUUUUUGAAUGAGAUCAACCAGAGGAUAUAUAGUUUCUAUUGUCAGAAGAAGCAAAAGAAAGUUAGCUAAAAAAAAGAAGUUAUUUGUUGUGAGGAAAGUACAAUACAAGCAGACCUGUAUGGUUUACAAGUUUUUAAAAAAAAAGUGACAUACGUACAUGUCCUUAAUCACGGUCAAUAUUGAAAAGAUGCGUAUGAUUUUCAUGUUCCAUUCCUAGAUUACAUGUUAUGUACUUGCAUUUUUAAGGAUUGAUAUGACAAAGACAUUUCAUUCUGCUAUCCAAAUGUUAUGUCAUCCUUUGUUAUCCCUUUUGAGAUUUUGUUUUAUUUCUUUUAUAUCCCUCUUUUGGAAAUAAAAUAAAGUCUGCAAAAAAAAUGUGUCAAAAAAAUAGAGUCAGAAAAGUGUCAAAAAAAAGAAUAGAGUCAGAAAAGUAUCAAGAAAAAAUGGAGUCGGGAAAAAUCUAUCUCUCUCUUUCAAAAAAAAAAGAAAAAGAAGAAAAUGAGAGAAAAGUCAAGAAAAAAAAGAAAAUCAAGCGAAAGAACAAGAUUUAUGAACUACAUUUGACCUGAUUCUUGCUAUGACAAGAUACGUAGGUAGCCUUACCUUGGGGUUCGGUCCAAUCAAAAAAAAUUCAGAUUACCCAAAAUAAAAUGAAACUGGGGCAAAGUUUAUUUUCUUAAAAAGGUCGAUUCCAAAAGUUGUAUGUUUCACCCAAUAUUAUGUAAAUUUUUUAGCCACAUCCUCCCUUUCUUUCUAACCUUUUCCAAAAGCCAAGUUACAUCCAAAGAAAGACCUUCAGAUCGAUCUUUGAGAAUAUCAAGGCUAAACAUAUUAUGGGUGCAUGAUGUUUCGUAUCUUGGGCAUUAUUUUUCAAAAAAAAAUGAAUGAUGAAAAAAAUAAAUGAGUAAAAAUGAGAGUCGUAUUGGUGAAAACUCUUUUGGGCACCAUAAGGCGACAGUGAGCUGAGAAAGAAAUGAAAAUGAGAUAGGCGUUGGCAAAACCUCAUUGAGGUACCACUAGCCGAAGGAGGAUUGUGAUCUAGAGGGAGCAUAUUCAAGAUUGAUUCCAUUUCAAACUCAAUAAGUAGACAAGAGUUGUAAUAAUUAGUGUGGGUAGAUCAGGUUGUUUAAUUCAAAAUGCAUGUCAUGGUUGCUAGAAUCGGCUACCACACCCAAAUAAGUUUUCUUCUGUCGUUUUUUUUUAAAAUGCCUAUUGUUUUUCCCUUUUCUUUUUAUUUUUCUAUUUUUGAUUUUUGGUAUCUUUGUCAUCAAAUAAAAAUUAUUGUCAUUUUUCUCGUGUCUUUGAGUUGAGUUCGUGUUAUAACAAGUGAGAAAAAAUUUCAAAACUGGCUACCAGCUUCUUCAAUUGCACAAAGCAAGACAAAAAGCCAACAUAUGAAAGAGACGUAAUUGUGAGCCGAAAUAAGGCAUGCAGAAAAGUUUUGUCAACAAAAGAGUCUAGAAACUCAUGGAAAUAUCAAGGUUUAAAGGGUUUAUUUGAGGAGCAUGGCAAAGCAAAGAUAUUGUGUUUGUUUCAGAGUCACUUCUAAUAAUCUGAGUUUGGGUAAUGAUGCAGCAAGUCGGUGACAGAUACUAAUGGUUAGAAGCAAGGUUAAAUGUGACGAGAGCAAGAGUGAUUGCCACGGAAGUUAAAGCCACAAACCUGCCACCAUGUUUUUGAACUCACAAGUUUUCUUUGAUGAAAUAGGAAACAUGUUACCUUCAAAUUAAGGACGUCAGAGCAUAAAUAUCAAGGGCUACAAUGCCUCAUUUCCACAGAUACAGGAAGCAAUGUUGCUGCAUAGGUUUGAUAAUCAAAUUAUGGUAAAAAUUCAACCCCUAGGAGACUUACUUCCUAAUCUGGACAAUUCAAGUUUCAUUUGUUAGGUGAAGCACUUCCUAACUUGAACAUUCACUCCUAGAAGACGUACCUUUUAGUCGAAUCACUCCCCUUGAUUCCUAUAAGAUGUAUCUUUUAGUCGAGUCAUUCCCCUUGAUUCCUAUAAGAUGUACCUUUUAGUCGAGUCAUUCCCCUUAUUUCCUAUAAGACAUAUCUUUUAGUUAAGUCAUUCCCCUUGAUUCCUAUAAGAUGUACCUUUUAGUCGACUCAUUUUUCUUGAUUCCUAUAAGACUUACCUUUUAGUCGAGUCACUCCUCUUUAUUCCUAUAAGAAGUACCUUUUAUUCAAGUUAUUUCUCAUUAAUUCCUAUAAGACAAACCUUUUAGUCGAGUCAUCCCCUUGAUUCCUAUAAGAUGUACCUUUUAGUUGAGUCAUCCCCCUUGAUUCCUAUAAGACGUACCUUUUAGUUAAGUCACUCCCUUGAUUCCUAUAAGGCAUACCUUUUAGUCGAAUCAUCCCCCUUGAUUCUUAUAAGACGUACCUUUUAGUCGAGCCAUCUCCCUUGAUUCCUAUAAGACGUACAUUUUAGUCGAAUCAUCCCCCUUGAUUCCUAUAAGACGUACCUUUUAGUUGAGUCGUUCCCUUUGAUUCUUAUAAGAUGUACCUUUUAGUUGAGUUAUCCCCUUGAUUCCUAAAAGACAUACCUUUUAGUCGAGUCAUACCCCUUGAUUCCUAUAAGACAUAAGACGUACCUUUUAGUCGAGUCAUCCCCUUGAUUCCUAUAAGACAUACCUUUUAGUUGAGUCAUCCCCUUGAAUCCUAUAAGACGUACCUUUUAGUCGAGUCACUUUCCUUGAUUCCUAUAAGACGUACUUUUUAGUUGAGUCAUUCCCCUUGAUUCCUAUAAGACGUACCUUUUAGUCGAGUCAUUUCUAUUGAUUCCUAUAAGAUGUACCUUUUAGUCGAGUCACUCCUCUUGAUUCCUAUAAGAUGUACCUUUUAGUCGAGUCAUUCCCCUUGAUUCCUAUAAGACGUACCUUUCAGUCGAGUCAUCCCCCUUGAUUUCUAUAAGAGGUACCUUUUAUUUGAGUCACUCCCCUUGAUUCCUAUAAGACGUACCUUUUAGUCGAGUUAUCCCAUUGAUUCCUAUAAGACGUACCUUUUAGUCGAGUCAGUCCCCUUGAUUGCUAUAAGACGUACCUUUUAGUUGAGUUAUCCCUCUUGAUUAAAUAAGACAUACCUUUUAGUCGAGUUAUCCCCCUUGAUUCCUAUAAGACGUACCUUUUAGUCGAGUCAUUCCCCUUGAUUCCUAUAAGACGUACCUUUUAGUUGAGUCAUUCCCCUUGAUUCCUAUAAGACAUACUUUUUAGUCGAGUCAUUCCCUUGAUUCCUAUAAGAUGUACCUUUUAGUUGAGUCAUUUUCUAAGUACAAGCUGGGGCAAAAAUUUUGUUCGUGUUCAUUGAAUUUUACUUUCUGCUCAGGACCCUCCUGAAGAAUGGAAAUUUAUUUUAUACUCAGGACCCUCCUGAAGAAUGGGAUGUUAUUUUUCUGUUUUAUUGUUUACUUUGAGUCGAGGAGCCUACCUGAAGAACAGAGUAAAGGAGUCGCAGAUCAGAAACCCGCCUGAAGAAUAGAGUGAAUAUUAUCAGUUGCAAGUUUAGGAGCCUGCCUGAAGAAUAAGGUGAAGAUUGUCAAGUUCAAGUCAGAGAAAAUUUUGAAGAAUAAAUCAAUUAUCAAGUUCCUCUCUAAAUGCCAAAAUCCAACAAGAAGGAACAUUUCAUGUUUCAAGGUCAACUCAGAAUAACGACUAUCUCACCAUUUGAGAAGUCAUGAAAAUUCAAAUCAAGAUUCGAGAAUAGCUGAAUAGAUAGGAUCUUUCACAUGUAUCUUUAAUUUUAUUUUUGUUAUUCAUAUGAAUGUAAAAGCAUAAGUCGUCAACUGGAAACUCGAUGGAACCUCACUUGACCUCUAACUCGUUCUCUCACCAUUUUACCUUUGAACUACAUAUGACCCGAUUCCCUUAUAAUCCAAAAUAUGUAGGCGAUCCAAAACCAGGACUCGAUCGCAUCUCCUUUUUCAUUUUAUAUUCUUUUUGAAUAAUCGUAGGAUCAAAAAUCAUAUCUUUGUCUACUUCUUUGUAUGAAAACUCUUCCAGAUUUCAAACAAAGAGGGGGAAAAUAUAGACACGUGAUUUUUGAUCCUCCCUGAGUGUAAUAUAUAUAUUUUUUGAUAUUAAAUAUUUAUAUUUGAUCCGAUAUUAUUUUAAUUCUUAUUUUAUUUUUAAUAAAUUUUUAGUUAAAAACUAAAUAACUAAAUGAAAUUAAUUUAAGGAUAUUAUUUUAUUUUAUUCCAUUAAAUUUUAAAUAAAUAAGCUAGUAAUUUUAGUACUAUCUUAAUUAUAUUUAUUUUUGGCUAUUUUUAAAAUUUUAUUAUAUUUUUCUUAAAUAUAAAAAUUAAUUAAUUAUUAUAUUAUUUUUAUUGUUAUUAUUAUUAUUUUACUUAUCUAUUUAUUAUUUUUAUUUGAUAUUAUUAUUAUCUUUUAAAAAAAAAUUGAAAAUCCUAUCCUAUCUUAAACUACCCCAACCACCCCCACCUUUUCCUCCAAUCCCCUCAACUUCCCUCUUAAUACAUUAUAUAACACACAAGACCCUAAGAGAAGAGGAGGAUACACAAAAAUACACGGACAUAAACCAAAAAGAAAAAGAAAACAGAAACAACAAAUAAAAGGAACACAGUAGAAGCAAAAACAAGGAGAGACAUAAGGAAAAGAAACAGACAAAGAUGGAAAAACAAGCAAAACAGAAGAGAAAAGUAGACUUGAGAGGAAAAAGGAGUAAAAAAAGUGACGAUUUGAGUUCAAGUUCGGGUUUCGUUUGAGUUUUUUUUUGGUGAAGACAUUUUUUGUUUCUAUUUUAGUUAUUCUACCACACAGGUUCUUAUCGGAUUCUUUAUUGAUAAUUUUAUUUAGUUUUUGGGGUUAAAGCAUGAAUGAAGUAAUUCCAAUGAUUUGUUAUAUUAUUUCGUAUGUAAAAUUAAUUAUUUAGUUUAUGCUUUACGUCUUUAUUUGUAAUUCGUGUAAUGUUUUUUGAAGAUAAUGUUAAUUAUAUUGACUAUGAAUUUUGAAUGCGAUGAUUCCAAAGUUAUUAGUUGUAAAGAUAUAAAUUGCGUUAAUACAAAUAAUUAGUAUGUAUUGUGCUAUAAACCACUACUUUGAUUCAUGAAUGCAAUGCAUGUAAAAAGAUUUUAAAAGAGAAGGGUUGAAAAAAUAACAUGCACAUGCAUAUGCACACACACAAAAAUGGAAGACAUAUAAAACUGGAAGAAAAAAAAUCUUAAGAAGAAAGGAAAGGAGAAAAAAAAAUAGAGACAUGAACAUGCAAACAGAUAAUGGAAAAAUUUAAAAAGAAAAAGAAAAGAUAGAGUUGAUAAAAUAAUGAAAGAGCACCACUUUAUUCAUUCUUUUUAUUUGGAUCUUUGUUUUGUUAUUGUUGUUAGUUGUCAAGAAUAAAAAGAAAACAAUUUCUAUAGUUGGUUUAAAAAUUAAAUCUUGAGGUUUAAGCUAUCAAUUUAAAUAAUAAGUUAGGUCAAUUAUAGUAAUUUAAUUUUGUUGUUUUCGUUUAUGUUUGAUCUUUUGUUCUAAUUGUAGUAUUCGAAUGUUUGGUUUCAAUUGAUUGGAUGCAUUUACAUUUAUCAUCUGAUAAGAUUUUUAAUUGUGAUCGAGUUUGAGUUGGCUUUCAGUUUGGUCAAAAUUUGGCCAUAGCAAAUCGCAUGGAUCACGAUUUUAAAUUUUAAAUCAAGACCCAUCAUAUUUGACAAUAGAAAAGAAAGGAUAAAAUUAAUAGAAAAAAUAGCAAGCAAUAAUAUAAAACGAAAAAAGAAAAGAAUUUAUUUUUGAAGUUAUAAAACAUGUUUUUGACAUUACGAAUUGUAUUAUUUUUUAUUUAUUAAAAAAUUUAAUAAUUAUUUAUUAAAUUAAUUAAUUAAUUUAGUUGAAUAUUUUUUAAGGUUAAGUAGCAUUUUUUUGAACAGGUAAAUUGUUACAUGUUUUUAUAAAAAAAAAAAAAAGAUAAAUCGAUGUUUAGCGUUAGACAAAUUUUAGAGACAUUUAAAAUAUUCGUCUCAAUUAAGAAUGCGGCAUACACAUCUUUCUAAGAUAUUUAGAAUUCAAGGAUGCAAUAAUACGCCUUGGCAAAUAUUUUUCUAAAAUUAAUUUUCAUUGAUUUAUUUAACAUAAAAUAAUAGACUAGUUUUAAAUAAAAUGAGCGAAUUUAGGUCUUAACAUAAUUGGUCAAAAUAGUUUAGUUUAAGUAUAAGUCAAUAAAAGCAACCGUGCUAGAACCACAGGACUCGAGGGGUGCCUCACUCCUUCCCCUCAGUCAACAAAAUUUCUUACCCGGUCUUCUAUUUUCGCAGACCAACAAAGAGUCAUUUUCUUUUGAUUAGAGAUUCAAAAAGGUGACUUGAAACACCAUAACUCAAUUUCAAGUGGUGACUUUGUAAAUAAAAUAAUCCCUAUUCAAAACUGUCACUUUAAUUAAAAAAAUCCUUCGACUCAAUCCUUGCAGGCGAAAAGGGGGUGUGACAAUCCUCAAUGCUACUCUCAAACUUAAACCCCCAAGAGAACCUAAGGAUUUCAUCGUACGUUCAUCUUUCCGGUCUCAAGCUUUGAAUUUCUUUUCAAUUCUCAUGUGUCUAAGUAUGUACCUCUUUUUCUACACUUUUAUUUUCUCAAUGGCAUGAAAAUUAGUUUAUUAUUCAUGGUUUUGAUAUUGGGUUUUGAACUAUGGGUUGAGGUUUCUGGAUAUAAAUUGUUUGAAUGUUUUCUCAUGAUUACUAUUGAACUAUUAUGUUUUACAUUAUUAAUUUGCACACUCAUUGGGGUGCAUGAAAAUGGUAAACAAACUAAGGGGUCAUGAUUAUCCCCAAUUUGAUGAUUUUGCCUUGAUAUAUGAUUUUAAAAAUUAUGUUCCCUCAACCCAAAUUGUGAAAUUAAUAAUGAAUAUGGUUUCAUCAUACAGUUUGAAGUUCUCACUUGAACUAUUGCAUUGGCAUAAAAGUUUAAUGAACUAUGGUGUAGUUUUAUUGAACUUUGGGGUAUGUGGAUUCCUCGUGAGGAUGUCAAUUGAACCUAAGGAGUCAUAAAUUUCUCCCGUGUAAUGGUUAAUGGAUUGUGGCAUGAUAAUGAACUUGCAAGUAGAGUUGGUAUGACGAUAACAAUGGGAUGCCUAAAUGUAUAAUCGGUUCAAUAAAUUAGGAAUAUGUGUUAAAUAUUUUAAUUGGGCUUAAAAGCGGGUAGUGUAGCCGGUCCAUGAAAGUAGAAGUCCCGAUGGACAAACAGCAAAAACCGCGUUAAUCGGCGUGGGGGUCUAAAUGACUGGGAGGUUCGAGUUUCCCUUAUUAUUAUUAUAUGAUUGGGAGGUUCAAGUCCCCCUUGUUAUAUAAAUUGGUGCUUUAUCCACAUUUGAUUUACACCGGGAGGUUCGAGUCCCUCAUCAGGCAUAUGAUAUAGGAUUAUCCUCUGGUUCGUGCGGCUACAUGUACUAGGGUCCUUCCAGCUGGGGAAGAGCUGGGCCCAUAUAACCCAUGGGUCCCUUGAUUAUGACAGUUAUACUAUACAAUCCAGGUUAAGGUUUUUAACAUUCAUGCUAAACCCUGUUUCCUUUCCCAGCAUAAUAUAUAUAUAUAUAUAUAUAUAUAUAUAUGUUGCAUAUGUCAUUGUGCAUUAGUUUUAAUGAUUUUUGUAUUAUGGUUCGUGACAUUAUUUUAUCCUUUAUGCUUGAGUUACAUGCUAGCGCUCCAACCGCUAACCGUCUUCGAACGUCGUAUCCCUACGUAAUGCAGACACCAGAAAUUUUUCUACCUUUCUUGCACAAUGAUUAGGUGCCUUGGAUAGCUGAUGAGUUGACUUGAAGUGGUAAGUUUCCAUCUUCCAAAGGACUUUAUUUUAUAUUUUCAUUUCCUAUGUCUUAGACUUUGUUUCAAACUUGUUUUUGGUUAUGGUCGGGGGCUUGUCCCAUCACAUUAUUGGUAUUUGGUUUUGUUAGAGGCUUUAUGGAUAACUUUGGACUUGGGUGUUGGUUAUUGGUAUUGGUGACGGUUUAUGGACAUAUUACCUAUGUCUUGAGUUUACCCUUAUUACCAUGUUAUAUAUCUGGGAUUCGGUCUCUGACAGCGUGUAUUCUUGUUUAACUAGGCAAAAGGGGUGGUCUCCGGUCCUCGAAGGACUUGAGAUACCCAUCACAGCUAGGCCCUGGUUCAGGUGGUGACAGUCAGACCUAGGUCGGGUCUAGGAGCUGAGGGGUUGGGGGUCCAAGUCAGGAGUCGAGAAUCGCGGUCGACCUGGAUCGGAUGUUGGGGUUGGGUUCCGAAUACGAAGUUAGGGUAGAUUCUCGUGUCCAGAUUGGGUCCUGGAUGAGGAGUGGGGGUCUGGUCCUUGAAUGGUUGUCGGGGUCAGGUCUUGCAUCACGUGUGAGGAAUCGAGGUUUAAGGUUGGGAUUGAAUUUGGUGCCAUUAGUAUUUGCUUAGAUUAUUACCUAUAUAAUGUUGGGAUAAUAUCUUCUUUUGACCAAUCAAACACCAAAAAAUAAGUAAUAAAAUCACUUAUUUUCACAGAAAAUAUUUCUAGGAAAACAUUUUCUUUCAUACCAACCCCCUCAACUUCCCUCUUAAUACAUUAUAUAACACACAAAAUACUAAGAGAAGAGGAGGAUACACAAAAACACAUGGACAUAAACCAAAAAGAAAAAGGAAACAGAAACAACAAAAAAAAAUGGAACACAACAGAAGCAAAAAUAAAGAGAGACAGAAGAAAAAGAAACAGACAAAGAUGGAAAAACAAGCAAAACAGAAGAGAAAAGUAGACUUGAGAGGAAAAAGGAGUAAAAAAAGUGACGAUUUGAGUUCAAGUUCGGGUUUCGUUUGAGUUUUUUUUUGGUGAAGACAUUUUUUGUUUCUAUUUUAGUUAUUCUACCACACAGGUUCUUAUCGGAUUCUUUAUUGAUAAUUUUAUUUAGUUUUUGGGGUUAAAGCAUGAAUGAAGUAAUUCCAAUGAUUUGUUAUAUUAUUUCGUAUGUAAAAUUAAUUAUUUAGUUUAUGCUUUACGUCUUUAUUUGUAAUUCGUGUAAUGUUUUUUGAAGAUAAUGUUAAUUAUAUUGACU